AGAGAGAGACAUGCGCGCAUAUCAAUAAGCGGAGGAAAAGAAACUAACAUAGGAUUCCCUCAGUAACGGCGAGUGAAGCGGGAAGAGCUCAAAUUUGAAAUCUUCAAGGUUCUACCUUGACGAAUUGUAGUUUAAAGAAGUGUUUUCUGCUGAAGUUUUGGUAAAAGUUCUUUGGAAUAGGACAUCAUAGAGGGUGAGAAUCCCGUAUUUGACCAUUAUUUUCAGCUUUGUGAUACACUUUCAAAGAGUCGGAUUGUUUGGGAAUGCAGUCCAAAAUGGGUGGUAAAUUUCAUCUAAAGCUAAAUAUUGGCGAGAGACCGAUAGCGAACAAGUACCGUGAGGGAAAGAUGAAAAGAACUUUGAAAAGAGAGUUAAACAGUACGUGAAAUUGUCAAAAGGGAAGCGUUUGACACCAGUGUUGCUUUUCUCGAAAAUCAAUUAAAAAUGGCUCGAUUUUGUAUUGCUGAGACCUUAAAAGCUCACUGUACAUUUUUCGUGUCUUUUUUAAUGCACUUUUCGUUUAACAAGUCAACAUCAGUUUCUUUUGUUGUAAAAGGGUCAUUGGAAGGUGGCUUUCUUUUCGGAGAAAGUGUUUAUAGCCUUUGGCCUCUGCAAUCGAAGAGACUGAGGUCUGCAGCGUAGAUCCUUCGGGGUUAGAUACAUUUGUGCUAAGUUAUAGCCUUUUCAUAGACAACUUGUUGACUAUAAUCAGUCAUGUAGCUUACUCGCUUAUGCUAUUUUACCUACGCUUAGGAUGUUGAGUCGUAGAGCACGCAG
rnacentral:rRNA from 1 species